GCCUAACGGCUGAACUGGCAACUUGGAGAAGUGGCAAGUCUUCCAGUAUGGGGAGCAAAACAGCUAUGGGUCAAGUCCGAGAUCUUUAGGAGAAGUCUUAUUGUGAGGGCGAGUUAUAUAACACCAUAGGACUGGCCGUCCCAUAUGAAAAGAUUAUAUUAGAAUUGAAUGAAGCUUUGUUUAUAUAUUGAUAAUGACAGUAUAUAUAUCGUGUCUUGACUAAUUGCGUGCCAGCAGUCGCGGUAAUACGUAAGAGACUAGUGUUAUUCAUCUUAAUUAGGUUUAAAGGGUACCCAGACGGUCAAUAUAGCUUAUAAAAUGUUAGUACUUGACUAGAGUUUUAUGUAAGAGGGCAGUACUUGAGGAGGAGAGAUGAAAUUUCGUGAUACCAAAGGGACUCUGUAAAGGCGAAGGCAGCCCUCUAUGUAAAAACUGACGUUGAAGGACGAAGGCACAGAGAACAAACAGGAUUAGAUACCCAAGUAGUCUUUGCAGUAAAUGAUGAAUGCCAUAGGUUAGAUUAAUAGUUAAUGUUUAUAGGCUAAUUAUUGGCUUAGCUUAGCAAACUAAUGCUAUAGACUAGACAUUAAAAAUUAUUUGGUCUAUAAAUGAAAGUGUAAGCAUUUCACCUCAAGAGUAAUGUGGCAACGCAGGAACUGAAAUCACUAGACCGUUUCUGACACCAGUAGUGAAGUAU
rnacentral:rRNA from 1 species